ACUCCUGCGGGAGGCAGCAGUGGGGAAUAUUGCACAAUGGGCGCAAGCCUGAUGCAGCCAUGCCGCGUGUAUGAAGAAGGCCUUCGGGUUGUAAAGUACUUUCAGCGGGGAGGAAGGCGAUAAGGUUAAUAACCUUGUUGAUUGACGUUACCCGCAGAAGAAGCACCGGCUAACUCCGUGCCAGCAGCCGCGGUAAUACGGAGGGUGCAAGCGUUAAUCGGAAUUACUGGGCGUAAAGCGCACGCAGGCGGUCUGUCAAGUCGGAUGUGAAAUCCCCGGGCUCAACCUGGGAACUGCAUUCGAAACUGGCAGGCUAGAGUCUUGUAGAGGGGGGUAGAAUUCCAGGUGUAGCGGUGAAAUGCGUAGAGAUCUGGAGGAAGACCGGUGGCGAAGGCGGCCCCCUGGACAAAGACUGACGCUCAGGUGCGAAAGCGUGGGGAGCAAACAGGAUUAGAAACCCGAGUAGUCCCA
rnacentral:rRNA from 1 species